ensembl:lincRNA
GCUUCUGAUAAUAUCUUUUAUUUCUUUUCACUACUAGAGAUUGAAUCCAGAUCCUCCACAUUAAAGAAGUGCUGUACUUAUACACUGAGCUACAUCCCCAGACCCCUGUGCUCACUCCCAUUGACAACACCUCUUUCUUCUAUGAUUUUCAGACUAAGAGAUACACUUCCCUCUGCUCGAAGAGGUAAAAAUGGACACUGCAGACGCUCAGUGGAAGUUGUGAAAGAUGAAGUACUGGAUGUGUGGACAGACUCCUCCUGUACUGAUUAUCUCAAAGUCCUUUCACAUCAAGAUGAGCAGAAACAGAAGAGACCUCUACUGAGGAUUAUCCCAUGUCCUUGCCACAGCCACCUGCAGCCUGAGUCCAUCCUGCCACCCAGAGCUCCCCAACCCAAGUACAGAGUCAACAAAAAGAACGAAUUCAUCCCAUUCAUCUUAGCUGUGCUGCUUGUAGGGAGCCAGAUUUCAGGGAGACCAGAUGAGUGUAGCACUGACACUAAUCUUGGCUUCACCAAUACUAAUUUAUGUGUCUUGAGUGGAACUCCUGGUCCUUUCCACUCUAACGUCCCUAAGUGGUUUACUCUUCUCAGUCAAGUCCAGCUCUACUGGCAGUCACUCAGGCCAGACACACUGGAGUCACCUAAGGCUGGUUCUCUCUUUCAUGUGCCAUAUCUACUGUGGCCCUGAAGGAAGACCAAGCCUGUCAGAGACAGUUGCUGAGUCACCUGUGAGUACAAAAACUGAAGGGAAUUGAAUUGGUCAAUUUUCCCAUUGCUAGGACAAAAUACCUGACAUCUGAAAGUUAAAUGGGGAAAGGUUUAUUUUGGCUUAAGUUGUCAGAGGUUUCAGCCCAUGGUCAUCUGGCUGCAAGGCAAAGACAUUAUGAUAGAAAUGCAUGAUGUAGAAAAGCUCCUCAACUUAUGGCAGCUGAGAAGCAGAGCAGGUUGGAGAGAACUAGAAAAGAAGAGGUCAGGGACUAGUUACAGUCUCCAAGUCACAUACCCAUGACCCACUUCCUUUCAGUGAGGCUCCACCUCCUAAUAGUCCAUUCAGCAAUGAACUCAUCAAUGGGUUGACUCACUAAUAAAGCUAGCAUCCCCACAAUCCACUGCCACACUGGAAAUGAAUAUCCUCUUCAGAUGUGUCUUAAGCAAAUAGAGUUGAUAAUCAAAAUUAACCAUCACAGGGGUAUAACCAGGACACAGGUCUUAUAGCUUCCUGUAUCUUUCAUGAUAAAACAAAUCAGUUCUCCUGGGAGAAAUGGCCAGUCUGUGGCCAGGAUGGGAAAUAUACAAAAUGAACCUAGAAUAUCUUGUAAUACCACAAAGUAAGGUAUUUUUUUAGGAAUUUUUUUUUAGGAAAUGCUAUAUUCAAAUGCUAGGCAUUUGUAUAAAAGAAGAGCCAGAAGGAGAAGAAGAUGAAGAUGGAAAUGAAGAAGAAGAAGAGGAAGAGGGGGGAGGAAGAGGGAGAAGAGGAAGGGAAAAAGGAGAGGGAAUGAGAGGAAGAAAAAGAAGAGGAGGAAGAGAAAGAAGAGGAAGAAGGAUGCAGGAGCAGGUGGAGCCCACCAGGAGCUGAGCAAGGCUAAAGACACAACUCAAUGAUGCAGUACCUGCCUAAGAUGCACAAGCCCCUGUGUUCAAUUCUCACCUCCAUGAAAAAAGAGAAAAAAGCUGGUUGUGGUGGUGCGUGCCUGUAAUCACAGCACCAAGGAAGGCUGAGGUCUUGAGUUUGGGCAACUAAGGUCCUGUCUUAAGACAAAAAAAUAAAGAAGAGCUGGAGAUGUAGUUCACUGCAAAGGUGUUAGGUUCAAUCCUUGGUGAAAAAAAAGACCAGAACAAAGCUGGACAGUCUGUGCAACAAAAUAAAUAAAAUAGUAUUAGAUUUUACAUAAAAUUACAAAUUAAGUAUCUGUAAGUCCAUAGUACUAUAAAUGAAUAAAUAAAUGGAGAAGGUAUAUAUAUUCCCAAAGAAGAAAACUAAAUAAUUUGUGUGUAGUCUUAGUUAUCAAUUCAUAUGAAAGGUAGUGCAGUUUAACACCUUCCUUUGAGUGUAUGCUAUACUUAGUGACUUAUUGGAGUAUAACAGCUGGGGGGAAACACAUUGAGGGGUUCUAAGGACUCUCUGGUUUUUCUGCAUAUCUAAAUUAUUACACAAUAAAAAAUUUAUUAAAAAGAAAAAUUUGUAAGUACUUUCACCUAUUAUUAUGCUGUCUUUCCUUGAUUGUUGGACAGGCCUUAUUUGAAGUGACCAAACAGUUCUAAAACAAAAUGCUUUAUGUCAUCAGGUUUUAGUCCAAAACUUUUCACUAAUUUAUGCAAAUGCUAUAACCCUCAGUCACUGCUGGUUUAUUGAGAAGCAUAUAUUACCUAAUUGUAAGUCUCUACUUUUAAAAUAUAUGUUUUUUCUCAUCUUUUUCAUUAAAUAUCAGAAAAAAAUAUAUUUAUAUUUUAGUGUAUAGUUCCAUAUUUAUGAGGCACUUAGAUGAAUCAAGAUACCAUUUCAUGGAUACUUUCUAUGUAACAAGCACUGUACCAGUUUUGUUUCAUUUAAUUUAAUUAUGGAAAGUGUUUGAAUUCUGCCACACCAG